rnacentral:hammerhead_ribozyme from 17 species
UCGGCGUAUGCCGGUAUGGGCCGGCACUGAUGAGACUCACAGGUCGAAACGCUGU